AGUGAACGCUGGCGGUAGGCCUAACACAUGCAAGUCGAACGGCAGCACAGUAAGAGCUUGCUCUUACGGGUGGCGAGUGGCGGACGGGUGAGGAAUACAUCGGAAUCUACUUUUUCGUGGGGGAUAACGUAGGGAAACUUACGCUAAUACCGCAUACGACCUACGGGUGAAAGCAGGGGAUCUUCUGACCUUGCGCGAUUGAAUGAGCCGAUGUCGGAUUAGCUAGUUGGCGGGGUAAAGGCCCACCAAGGCGACGAUCCGUAGCUGGUCUGAGAGGAUGAUCAGCCACACUGGAACUGAGACACGGUCCAGACUCCUAAGGGAGGCAGCAGUGGGGAAUAUUGGACAAUGGGCGCAAGCCUGAUCCAGCCAUACCGCGUGGGUGAAGAAGGCCUUCGGGUUGUAAAGCCCUUUUGUUGGGAAAGAAAAGCAGCAGGUUGAUACCCCGCUGUUCUGACGGUACCCAAAGAAUAAGCACCGGCUAACUUCGUG
rnacentral:rRNA from 1 species